rnacentral:rRNA from 1 species
UACGGAGGGGGCUAGCGUUGUUCGGAAUUACUGGGCGUAAAGCGCGCGUAGGCGGCUUUGUAAGUUAGAGGUGAAAGCCCGGAGCUCAACUCCGGAAUUGCCUUUAAGACUGCAUCGCUAGAAUCAUGGAGAGGUGAGUGGAAUUCCGAGUGUAGAGGUGAAAUUCGUAGAUAUUCGGAAGAACACCAGUGGCGAAGGCGACUCACUGGACAUGUAUUGACGCUGAGGUGCGACAGCGUGGGGAGCAAACAGG